rnacentral:rRNA from 1 species
GACGAACGCUGGCGGCGUGCUUAACACAUGCAAGUCGAACGAAGAGCGAUGGAAGCUUGCUUCUAUCAAUCUUAGUGGCGAACGGGUGAGUAACGCGUAAUCAACCUGCCCUUCAGAGGGGGACAACAGUUGGAAACGACUGCUAAUACCGCAUACGAUCUAAUCUCGGCAUCGAGGAUGGAUGAAAGGUGGCCUCUACAUGUAAGCUAUCACUGAAGGAGGGGAUUGCGUCUGAUUAGCUAGUUGGAGGGGUAAUGGCCCACCAAGGCGAUGAUCAGUAGCCGGUCUGAGAGGAUGAACGGCCACAUUGGGACUGAGACACGGCCCAGACUCCUACGGGAGGCAGCAGUGGGGAAUCUUCCGCAAUGGACGAAAGUCUGACGGAGCAACGCCGCGUGAGUGAUGACGGCCUUCGGGUUGUAAAGCUCUGUUAAUCGGGACGAAAGGCCUUCUUGCGAAUAGUGAGAAGGAUUGACGGUACCGGAAUAGAAAGCCACGGCUAACUACGUG